rnacentral:rRNA from 1 species
UACGUAUGGUGCUAGCGUUAUCCGGAUUUACUGGGUGUAAAGGGAGCGUAGGCGGCGCGUUAAGUCUGAUGUGAAAACCCGAGGCUCAACCACGGGAGUGCAUUGGAAACUGGCGGGCUGGAGUGCCGGAGAGGUAAGCGGAAUUCCUAGUGUAGCGGUGAAAUGCGUAGAUAUUAGGAGGAACACCAGUGGCGAAGGCGGCUUACUGGACGGCAACUGACGCUGAGGCUCGAAAGCGUGGGGAGCAAACAGG